CGCGGGGUGGAGCAGUUGGCAGCUCGUCGGGCUCAUAACCCGAAGGUCGUAGGUUCAAGUCCUACCCCCGCUACCA
rnacentral:tRNA from 1 species